rnacentral:rRNA from 1 species
UACGGAGGGGGCCAGCGUUGUUCGGAAUCAUUGGGCGUAAAGGGCGCCUAGGUGGCCAAGCAAGUCGGACGUGAAAGCCCUCGGCUCAACCGGGGAAUUGCAUCCGAAACUGCUCGGCUUGAGUCCUGGAGAGGGUAGCGGAAUUCCCAGUGUAGCGGUGAAAUGCGUAGAUACUGGGAGGAACACCGGUGGCGAAGGCGGCUACCUGGACAGGUACUGACACUGACGCGCGAAAGCGUGGGGAGCAAACAGG